AUGGACGACGCGGGGUCGGGGGGCGUCAUCGUGGACUCCGGCACGGCCGGCGGCGGGGAGCUGAAGCUGCCGGCGAAGAACUACCUGAUCCCGGUGGACGGGGCCGGGACCUACUGCCUGGCGUUCGCGGGGACGAGCGGCGCCGUGUCCAUCAUCGGCAACGUGCAGCAGCAGGGCGUGCGCGUCAGCUUCGACACCGCCAAGAACACCGUCGGCUUCACCGCCGACAAGUGCUAG
rnacentral:rRNA from 1 species